UUGGCUGGAGUGUGGCAGAGGAUCGGUCUAAGGUCCCUUCAAAUUCCAAGAUUCUGCAGUUCUAUGAAACGGCUUCCUUCUGAGGCUGCUGGCACAACAGAGUGGGUAGGCUGGUUGCAUUUGGUGUCAUACAGGACUGGAUUCAAACUCCUACCCUGCCAUUCACUACUGCCUGUAUGAACUUGAGUCUAAAACCAUAAACAAACGAACCAACAAAAAACCUUCAAAAUGUGUGGAAAGAGCUUGCACACCCUUUACAGAUCAUAUUUUUAGUAAUUAACAAAUGAACAAUGAGAAGACAACAGCAAUCAAAGAGGAGAUGAUACCAUCCCUUCCUUACAUAACAUUCCAGGAAUUUGUGCUGAUUUCAACAUGGAAGUCUGUCUGUGUACCUCAAAGCAAGGGAGGCCUGCCCCACCUUUCUUCAGUUCAUCUUUACGCUCUCGUUAUUGGCUCAGAAGUAUUACUAUGAAAAGUGAGAAACACGCAUCUAAUCCACA